rnacentral:rRNA from 1 species
UGGCUCAGAUUGAACGCUGGCGGUAGGCUUAACACAUGCAAGUCGUGCGAGAAAGUAUCUUCGGAUAUGAGUAGAGCGGCGGACGGGUGAGUAACGCGUAGGAAUCUACCUAGUAGAAGGGGAUAGCCCGAGGAAACUCGGAUUAAUACCGUAUACCUCCUUCGGGAGAAAGAAGGCCUCUCUUUGAAGCUUUCGCUACUAGAUGAGCCUGCGUAAGAUUAGCUUGUUGGUGAGGUAAAGGCUCACCAAGGCUACGAUCUUUAGCGGGUCUGAGAGGACGAUCCGCCACAUUGGGACUGAGACACGGCCCAGACUCCUACGGGAGGCAGCAGUGGGGAAUAUUGGACAAUGGGCGCAAGCCUGAUCCAGCCAUACCGCGUGUGUGAAGAAGGCCCUAGGGUUGUAAAGCACUUUAAGUUGGGAAGAAAAGUUAUUGGUUAAUACCCAAUGACCGUGACAUUACCAUCAGAAUAAGGACCGGCUAAUUCCGUGCCAGCAGCCGCGGUAAUACGGAAGGUCCAAGCGUUAAUCGGAAUUACUGGGCGUAAAGCGCGCGUAGGUGGUUUAUUAAGUUGGGUGUGAAAUCCCCGGGCUCAACCUGGGAACUGCAUCCAAAACUGAUUCACUAGAGUACGAUAGAGGGAGGUAGAAUUCACAGUGUAGCGGUGGAAUGCGUAGAUAUUGUGAAGAAUACCAAUGGCGAAGGCAGCCUCCUGGAUCUGUACUGACACUGAGGUGCGAAAGCGUGGGUAGCGAACAGGAUUAGAUACCCUGGUAGUCCACGCCGUAAACGAUGUCAACUAUCUGUUGGAAAGCAUUGCUUUUCAGUGGAGCAGCUAACGUAAUAAGUUGACCGCCUGGGGAGUACGGCCGCAAGGCUAAAACUCAAAUGAAUUGACGGGGACCCGCACAAGCGGUGGAGCAUGUGGUUUAAUUCGAUGCAACGCGAAAAACCUUACCUAUGCUUGACAUACUUGGAAUACUUUGUAAUGAAGUAGUGCCUUCGGGAGCCAAGAUACAGGUGCUGCAUGGCUGUCGUCAGCUCGUGUCGUGAGAUGUUGGGUUAAGUCCCGCAACGAGCGCAACCCUCA